rnacentral:rRNA from 1 species
CCUACGGGGGGCAGCAGUGAGGAGUAUUGGUCAAUGGGCGCGAGCCUGAACCAGCCAAGUCGCGUGAGGGAGGACGGCCCUACGGGUUGUAAACCUCUUUUGCCGGGGAGCAACGGGCGCCACGUGUGGCGUCACUGAGAGUACCCGGAGAAAAAGCAUCGGCUAACUCCGUGCCAGCAGCCGCGGUAAUACGGAGGAUGCGAGCGUUAUCCGGAUUUAUUGGGUUUAAGGGGUGCGUAGGCGGAUCGUUAAGUCAGUGGUCAAAUUGAGGGGCUCAACCCCUUCCCGCCAUUGAAACUGGCGUUCUUGAGUGGAAGAGAAGUAUGCGGAAUGCGUGGUGUAGCGGUGAAAUGCAUAGAUAUCACGCAGAACCCCGAUUGCGAAGGCAGCAUGCCGGCUUCCGACUGACGCUGAAGCUCGAAAGUGUGGGUAUCAAACAGGAUUAGAUACCCGAGUAGUC